GACGUAGGGCGCGAGCGUUGUCCGGAUUUACUGGGCGUAAAGGGCGCGUAGGCGGCACCGCAAGUCGACUGUGAAAUCUCCGGGCUUAACUCGGAAAGGUCAGCCGAUACUGCGGGGCUAGAGUGCAGAAGGGGCAACUGGAAUUCUCGGUGUAGCGGUGAAAUGCGUAGAUAUCGAGAGGAACACCUGCGGCGAAGGCGGGUUGCUGGGCUGACACUGACGCUGAUGCGCGAAAGCUAGGGGAGCGAACGGG
rnacentral:rRNA from 1 species